UUCAACGGCACCAUGAGAGAGUACCCGCUUUAUAGUGAAUGGUCCCGACCAUCUCGACUUGAGCUUUCUUGGGAACAAUCACAACCGUGAGUUGAAUAAAAGGACUGAUUGACCUGGCUCGAAUAUUCGAUGUAUAAUUUUCUGGUCGUGCCAUCUUUUUACCUUUUCUUUGUAUAAUUUGGAUUUCUCGUAGGCGUGGAGGUGAAAUUCGUCGAGCACAUUCAGUUAAAGUAGUCUAUUUUCUCCUACAGCUGCUUGAUCGAAAUUUAGUUUUUGAAACGCCCAAUAAGCCUUAUGUUGUAGUUUGACUGGUAAUUGACAUGCCUUUCUGUACAGUAGUUGAUAUGGUGACAUCUCGAUUUGUGUCUUGUACGCAGUCCGGUAUGCCCAUAAUGCAUCGUCCAACCGAAGUGACUAAUCCUUACGAUUUGGAUUCACCACUUU
rnacentral:lncRNA from 1 species